rnacentral:rRNA from 1 species
GGUUGAUCCUGCCAGUAGUUAUAUGCUUGUCUCAAAGAUUAAGCCAUGCAUGUCUAAGUACACACGAAUUUAUAGUGAAACCGCAAAAGGCUCAUUAUAUCAGUUAUGGUUCCUUAGAUCGUUAACAGUUACUUGGAUAACUGUGGUAAUUCUAGAGCUAAUACAUGCAUUAAAAACACGAACCUCAGGGGACGUGUGCUUUUAUUAGGCUAAAACCAAGCGGUCGCAAGAUCGUCAUAUGGUUGAACUCUAGAUAACAUGCAGAUCGUAUGGUCUUGUACCGACGACAGAU